ACCCACCAAAUAUUGUCAUACCACUACCACCACUUUAAAAAGAAGACAAGUGUUUAUUUUAAAAAGUGCAAAAUAAUCAACACUAACAAACAACAACAACAACAUUAACAAAUAAAAAUUUUUUAAGCUGUAAGCUGCAAGCAUAUUAUCUGUUAAUUUAAUUGUUCUUCCAACAUAAUGCCUGACAAUAAAAGGAUCGAAAUUGCAAAAAUGCUCAAGAUAAUAACGUUCCUCAAACAAUUGGAACGGACCGUCUACGUACUGAAUGUCAUGCUGCCACUCUGCGCCGAUGGAUUGGAUGAUGAACAAAUAGGCAUUCUGCGAUAUAUAAAAGACUACGUCGAUGGAAUGCGCAUAUGGAUAAGAAAUCACUAAAAUUUAUUCCUAACGGAAAAUUAUCUAUAAUGCUACUCUUUAAACUAACUUAUGACUGAAUUUUGUUCAAACAAAAUGUGAUAUGCCAAUCAAUUUGUUUUAUUCUGGGCUGAAUUAACAAUAUACCAGUACACUCUCG